rnacentral:rRNA from 1 species
CCAGACUCCUACGGGAGGCAGCAGUGGGGGAUAUUGCACAAUGGGGGGAACCCUGAUGCAGCGACGCCGCGUGGGUGAAGGAGUGCUUCGGCAUGUAAAGCCCUAUCGGCAGGGAAGAAGCAAGACGGUACCUGACUAAGAAGCCCCGGCUAACUACGGGCCAGCAGCCGCGGUAAUACGUAGGGGGCAAGCGUUAUCCGGAUUUACUGGGUGUAAAGGGGGCGCAGACGGCAAUGCAAGCCAGGAGUGAAAGCCCGGGGCCCAACCCCUGGACUGCUUUGGGAACUGUACGGCUGGAGUGCAGGAGAGGUAAGUGGAAUUCCUAGUGUAGCGGUGAAAUGCGUAGAUAUUAGGAGGAACACCAGUGGCGAAGGCGGCUUACUGGACUGUAACUGACGUUGAGGCUCGAAAGCGUGGGGAGCAAACAGGAUUAGAUACCCCAGUAGAA